rnacentral:lncRNA from 1 species
GCACCGAUCUGCUUUGGAGAACCUAUUCUGAGACUCCAGCAGGAUGUCUUAUCAACAGUAGCAAUGUAAGCAGCCCUGCCAGCCACCUCCUGUGUGCCGCCUGCCAAAGCGUCCAGAGCCAUGUCCACCCCUGAAGUGCCCUGAGCCCUGCCCACCACCAAAGUGUCCACAGCCCUGCCCACCUCAGCAGUGCCAGCAGAAAUAUCCUCUGGUGACACCUUCCCCACCCUGCCAGCCAAAGUGUCCACCCAAGAGCAAGUAACAGCUUCGGAAUUCAUCAGGACCACGAAAGGAUAGGGAUAAUUGGCUCACCUCGUUCCACA